GCCAUGGCGGGGGAGUGUGUUCACACUCGAGAGGCCUUGAGCGCAGUGCAGUUGCGCAAGUCGAACCCGGUUUGGAGUGCAGAGCAAAAAUAGCCGCUCGCUUUGCUAAAGACGCCCACUCCUUCCGCCGGCGCGUCCGUGGGCGAGCGAGGAGAGCGAGCCGGUGACGGAACGGGCCGAAGAACACGUGACGAACACAGCAGGCUCGCGUCACCCUGCGGUCAUUCGCAUUUCGACAUCCUCUUGUUCCAACGAGGACGUGGGCAGGUUCACGGUAAACACUUGACUGCGAAGAAAAGCACUUAAUGCCAGAAUAACUGAAUUACAGAACCAUUUACUGUCAAAUCUGAGUGUGUGACCUCGAUGGGGGCAGCAGGGGGCGCAACGGUCAGAGCUGUCAGCUUUCGAUCGCGGGUCCGAGGUCCGAAUCCCAUCCGGCUGCAGUGCCCUUGAUGGAGGCACCCAUCUCUAUAAAUGGGGUCACGAUGGUCCAGAGUCUAUCCUGGAAACACAAGGUACACACACACACACACACUUCACCUGAAACAAACAUCUUUGGACUGUGGGAGGAAACCAGAGCACCCGAAGGAGAUCCACACAAACGCAGGGAGAACAUUCAGACUCGACACCGAGCUCAAGUCAAACCCACGUCCGAGCCGUAGUUCGGGAGCUUAGAGGCACCAGCGCUACCCCGAGAUGCCCGUAAAGGGACUCGAACCUGGAGCCUCUACCCACCGAGCAGCACUUCUACUGCUACGCAUUCAAGCAGCAGUCUGUGAACACGGUAAAGGUAAAAAGAGGUAAAUCCCCAUGUCCUUUGGAUAAAAACACCAGCUAAGCAACAGAAUAACACAUGUACCCAGAGUCCGGUGCAAUUAACUGAAUUCAUAAUUGUCCUCAUAACCUAUUUCCGCUCGCUUUUCUAUGGAGGGGGUGGGGUUCGGACUUAGAUUCCAUCAGGCUCCGGAAAGGGUACGAAGCCCAGAAAAGGCCCAGAAUCUCUCCUGCCUGCAGUUCCCAUCAUGACCAGUGGGGGGCGCGACAAACACUUUCACUUUCACAAAACGUGGCCUGUAACAGCUGGCAGAAAAAAGGGUUUUUC
rnacentral:lncRNA from 1 species